UUGUAGUGUCGUAAAAGCUCCCCUGGUCACAUGGGAUGCUACAAGCUGAAGUCGGCGCGGUUACUUGGGAAGCGAGUGUUGGUGUUGGUGUUGGUGAAGGUGCAGGGCAGACCUUUGAGUUUUAGCGGGCGCCACUCUUUCUUACAAACAUGGAGGGAGCCGACGAGUUCAUGAAGUACCGUUCCCCGCUGGUCUCGCGGUAUGCCAGCAAGGAAAUGGCGUACAACUUCAGUGACAGGAAGAAAUUUACAACCUGGAGAAAGCUGUGGAUCUACCUGGCUAAGGCUGAGAAGGCUUUGGGUCUGCCCAUCACCGACGCCCAGAUCCUGGAGAUGGAGAGCCACGAGGUGGACAUUGACUUUGCCAUGGCGGCCGAGGAGGAGCGGAAGCUCAGGCACGACGUCAUGGCCCACGUCCACACCUUCGCACACUGCUGCCCCACUGCUGCUCCCAUCAUCCACCUCGGUGCCACCUCCUGCUACGUGGGAGACAAUACUGAUCUGAUUAUGCUGCGUGACGGAUUCAACCUUCUCUUGCCUAAGCUGGCCAGAGUCAUCGACAGGCUGGCAAACUUUGCAGAGAAACACGCUGACCUUCCCACGCUCGGCUUCACACACUACCAGCCGGCCCAGUUGACCACGGUAGGAAAGCGUGCGUGUCUGUGGCUGCAGGACUUGGCCAUGGACGCGCGGAACCUGCAGCGAGCCCGCGAUGACCUGCGUUUCCGGGGGGUUAAGGGCACCACAGGCACCCAGGCCAGCUUCCUGCAGCUCUUUCAGGGGGACCAUGAUAAGGUAGAAGAACUCGACAGAAUGGUGACAGAGAUGGCUGGCUUCAAAAAAGCCUACCUGGUAACUGGACAGACAUACAGCCGUAAGGUGGACGUAGACUGUGUGGCCAGCCUGGCCAGUUUGGGAGCCUCUGUUCACAAGAUCUGUACUGACAUCCGCCUGCUCGCCAACCUGAAGGAGAUUGAGGAACCUUUUGAGAAAGAGCAGAUUGGUUCCAGUGCCAUGCCCUACAAGAGGAACCCGAUGCGUGCAGAGCGUUGCUGCAGCUUGGCCCGACAUCUGGUGGCGCUGAUGGCCGACCCGCUGCAGACGGCGUCCGUCCAGUGGCUGGAGAGGACGCUGGACGACAGCGCCAACAGGAGGAUCUCCCUGCCUGAGUCCUUCCUGACAGCUGACAUCAUCCUCAGCACUCUGCAGAACAUCACAGAGGGACUGGUGGUCUACCCUAAAGUCAUCGAGAGACACAUCCGCCAUGAGCUGCCCUUCAUGGCCACAGAGAACAUCAUCAUGGCCAUGGUGAAGGCCGGAGGAAACAGACAGGACUGCCACGAGAAGAUUCGUGUUCUGUCCCAGGAGGCAGCCGCUGUGGUCAAACAGGAGGGUGGGGAUAACGACCUGCUGGCCAGAGUCCAGCGAGACCCCUACUUCGCCCCCAUUCUGGGGCAGCUGGACUCCAUACUGGACCCUAAGACCUUUAUCGGCCGUGCUCCCCAGCAGGUGGCCAGGUUCCUGUCUGAGGAAGUCCGGCCCCUGCUGGAGCCUUACAAGGCCAAGAUGGAUGUCAAAAUCGAGCUGGAGCUCUGACGCGCACACACGCGGAGACGAUGACUUGCACACAAAUCAAAAGAAGGAGACUUCCUCGUGGAACCAAGGAUCGUAUGUUGUGCUGUUGGGUUUUACAGCCUGCUUCGCCAAUAAAGCAAAAAUGCUAAUCAAAAACUUGUGAUGUGAAUUUCUAAUCCACCACUUUAUUACUUCACUAUUAUGACCAUUGACACCAAGGCCAUAAUAUGGCAUGUGUUUCACCCGUUACUAUUUAAACCGUUUUUUAGUGGGUUUAGGCUUUGUGGUUUUGCUUUCAGUAAACGGAAAGGAAAAGAUAAACCAUCGAGGAGAGGAAACCAUGUUAGAGUUGGGAGGAAACUUGUGCAA